AUUCAGGACCAGAGACAUAAAGUCACCCGGGAGCCGAGCCAGGAAGGUCUGAGUGGGAAGCAGUCGCCCCCCACUCCCAUUGCCACCCUGUGGAAAGGCCAGCUUUGCUUGGGCUUCCAUCCUGAUUGAUGUGGACGUCUCUACCUGGGGGAUGGGAACGAAAGCAUAACAUCCUGCUUUCCCAUAAGUUCCCUGGCCGCUACCCUGGCACCGAUUAAAGACAUGUCUAUGUGAUUAAUCAAAAACCGAUGUGGAAGCACUCUGGCGCUGCUCCUCUGAUGUGCUGCCUGCUUCAUAUACAGUAGUUCCUCAGCUGCAGUGGUGGAGCCAGCACAUAGGGGCUUUUGAUGAACUGGCUAUGCUUGCCCCAAAUGUUAGCUAUGUCAUCUGACAUGACUAAUGAGGCUCCAGAUUUGAUCUGUGCAGACCGGCCGAGGCUCAGGUUCCGCAGCCAGCCUGGGAAGAGGCUGCACUGUUUGGCUACACACUCCAUCAUGUCAGCUGGAGUCUGGGAGGCCUCUAGUGUUGAAGCUGGGAGUUGUCUACCAGGAAGAAUGCAAGGGACACAAAACGAACUGGUCACCUAUAAUCUGAACAGCUUCCCCAGAAAGCCCGUGACAUAUAAAGAGGAAGAACACACCCAUUGUCAUUUAAUGUCAUUCCACACAGUGGCUGAGCACAUACCAUAUGCCAGACAUUGGCCAAGCUGUGUGGGGAAUCAAAGUUGGGUAAAACAUGUUCCCUGGUCACCUGGAGAAGCUCACGAUUUAGUGGAAGAAUCAGACAUGUACAUAAAUAAUUAUAAUGUAUGUCAGAAUGAGGACGGAGUUUCAAUCCCACCUGGUCCUACAGCAGUUUAGUGCCAAAUAAAUGCACAGAGGCUUAUAUCA
rnacentral:lncRNA from 1 species